rnacentral:rRNA from 1 species
UACGGGGGGGGCAAGCGUUGUUCGGAAUUACUGGGCGUAAAGGGCUCGUAGGCGGCUCCUUAAGUCAGACGUGAAAUCCCUCGGCUUAACCGGGGAACUGCGUCUGAGACUGAAGAGCUUGAAUCCGGGAGAGGGAUGCGGAAUUCCAGGUGUAGCGGUGAAAUGCGUAGAUAUCUGGAGGAACACCGGUGGCGAAGGCGGCAUCCUGGACCGGUAUUGACGCUGAGGAGCGAAAGCCAGGGAGCAAACGGG